rnacentral:rRNA from 1 species
AAACCAACAGGGAUUGCCUUAGUAACUGCGAGUGAAGCGGCAAGAGCUCAAAUUUGAAAUCUGGCACCUUUGGUGUCCGAGUUGUAAUUUGUAGAAGCAACUUUUGAAUUGGUCCUUGCAUAUGUUCCUUGGAACAGGACAUCAUAGAGGGUGAGAAUCCCGUUCAUGGUGGGGAAUUUCAAUUCUUUGUAAAGUGCUUUCGAAGAGUCGAGUUGUUUGGGAAUGCAGCUCUAAGCGGGUGGUAAAUUCCAUCUAAAGCUAAAUAUUGGCGAGAGACCGAUAGCGAACAAGUACAGUGAUGGAAAGAUGAAAAGUACUCCGAAAGGAGAGUGAAAAAGGACGUGAAAUUGUUGAAAGGGAAGUGCUUGAGAUCAGUCUUAAGAUUUAACGAUCAAUCUUCCUUUUGGUUGAUGCACUCGUUUUUUCUUAGGCCAGCAUCAGUUUUCGUGGCAGGAUAAUGACAUUGGAAUGUGGCUCUUUCGGGAGUGUUAUAGACUUUGUUGAUACUGCUUACUUAGACUGAGGACCGCGCAUUUGCUAGGAUGCUGGCAUAAUGAUCUUAAUCAGC